rnacentral:rRNA from 1 species
AUUUAACGCUGGCGGCAGGCCUAACACAUGCAAGUCGAACGAGUGGCGGACUGGUGAGUAAUGUCUGGGAAACUGCCCGAUGGAGGGGGAUAACUACUGGAAACGGUAGCUAAUCCCGCAUACCAUCGGAUGUGCCCAGAUGGGAUUAGCUAGUAGGUGGGUUAAAGGCUCACCUAGGCGACGAUCCCUAGCUGGUCUGCGAGGAUGACCAGCCACACGGGAACUGAGACACGGUCCAGACUCCUACGGGAGGCAGCAGUGGGGAAUAUUGCACAAUGGGCGCAAGCCGGAUGCAGCCAUGCCGAGUGUAUGAAGAAGGCCUUCGGGUUGUAAAGUACUUUCAGCGGGGAGUCGUUACCCGCAGAAGAAGCACCGGCUAACUCCGUGCCAGCAGCCGCGGUAUUC